UAUUUUGGAAAGAAUCGGACCUCGAGACCCGAAUCAGGAAAAAAAUGGACAGAAGAAGAAGGGUGAAAGGAUUAACGAAAGUUAGCCAUCUGUGAGUUAGAAAGGGUACUAGCCACACAGUGAUAAACCCUCACUGACCCCUUCAACUUCG
rnacentral:sRNA from 12 species